CUCAUCCCCUGUUACUUCACAGUCACUUGAGUGUAGGAGCAACCUUCACUUAUGUAACUCGCUUCCUUCUCUCAGGACAAUCAGGUUGUUAGUAUUUUUAAUAACGUAUUUAAUGGAAAGAACUUACUCAUAGACAAUUCAUAACAUUUUCGGUAGCUUCGUGUUUGCUAGAAAAAUAUCCGUGCUCUAUGCACUUCGGAAGAAAAGAAAGAAAAAAAAAAAAGACCGAGUGAAGAAAGUGGGUAUCUGGAAGGGAAGGGUGUCUAGAUCCAGGGAGGGAGUGGAAGAAGGGCGAGGGUUUGUUUAUUUUAUAGAAUUCACUGAACAAGAUUAACAUGAACUAAUACUGUCCACCAAAAUUAAUAUGGCAAUCAGUCGUUCAAAAUUUAAUGUUGGUUACGGUUUUGAAAAAAAAAAAAAAAAACGACCAACAAAAUGUAGACAUGAGCCAAAUCAGUUGACGUGUCAAGUCAGCACGGGAAGGUAGUCACUGUCCACGUGCUGCUCUUCAUUACCUCCCCGCAGACACAGUGACUCACCUGAACUUCCAGAACUGUGGAUCUUGGUGGGUCAAGUUCACGUGUCGCCGAGAGUAAAUGUUGCCGCGGAAGUUGCCCAUCCACACGUCGUAGCCAGCGUCCGACAGCAGGAAGGAUGUGACGACCAUUUCAGGCCCAGGAGAAGACUAUUCACCUGUAGAUCCUAGCACUGUCUUCCUGCUACACAGUGUUUGGAUGUGAGUGAGGGAGGCGUGUGAAGCCCGUGAUUCCUGGCUUCCCCGAGGUCACCCGAGGCACUUCUCCAAGAUCGAGGCAACAGCGGGCGUUUCUUGUCUUAUCUCAAGCUUGCGGGAGGCGGGGCUUGAGUUGCUGCGCCUUAUCACCUGCUUAUGAACGAAGGCACUUCAUGGAAAGCCACGCUGCAGGAUGUUGAUUGGUGCGUUCUUUCCCUCUUCAGGCACUCCGUGGAGAACCACGCUGCACGUUGCAUUUUGUUGCAUAAUGUCCAGUUCCUGGAUGUAGAGUAUUUUUCAUCUGUCAAGAUUUUAUCCCAUCUUAUGGCAUAUUAUUUCGUCGAUGGCACAUUAUUUCGCCGAUUUUUUUGUUUUGUUUUUCUCUCUCUCCCUUAUACACUACAUACGGGCGCCCGCCACGUCAGUAUUUUUUUUGUAGACAGGGGCUCCGUGUAAUAAGGUGCGUCCACACGGUCGAACAUUGUCCGUCGAACACCCACUGUUACCAGAUAACAAUAUGCAUAUGAUACGAGUGCUGAUGACAUCUGAAGCGAGCACCAGUGGGGUGUAACGGACACUGCCGAUGUUCGUAGUCCCGCUACCUCGGACGCUGCUCUCCCUUGUACAGGUGUCCUGCUUCGUUAUAAAAAGUUUUACCUUUUCCAGUAUAUAAAUCGCAGAGGGUGUCUGGGUCCAUCCGCAUAUAAUUUUUAAAUUCAGAUUCAUAACCAAUUAGCAGUUCAUGUAAAAUGGUUGUAUGGCUUCCCCUUUCACUUCGUCUUUGUAACGCAGUCCCUGCAUCAUUCCCUUCACCUCCUUGUCCUUCUCACACAGUGCAACAGUUAUGCUGCAUAUUGCAAUUUUUUUUUUUCUUAUUGUGCACCAUGGUUAUGAUGCACUGCACUAGACCCUGGCAACAACCACCUGUCUCCCGAGCCCUCAGUAACAUAAUAUUAUACCUGUGUGUUGCCAGCGGACAUCAGCUUUGAACGUUGUCUGCUGGUCUUUGCCUGAUGAACUGAGUAGAAAGUAUGGUUUACAACUUCAUCUGGUACCACUGUUUACCAUAUAAACUUCCCUUCGUUUAAACGUUUAGGACGUCAUCCUGCUUCGCCUUGUGAUAUGGUAACAGUGGGUGUCCGACGGACGAUGUUCGACCCUGUGGACCCACCCCACAUGGUCGAACAACGUCCUGCUUCGCCUUGUGAUAUGGUAACAGUGGGUGUCCGACGGACAACGUUCGACCAUGUGGACGCACCUAAGGUGCGUCCACAUGGUCGAACAAUGUCCGUCGAACAAAUACUGUUACCGUAUCAUAAGGCAAAGCAGGAUGACGUCCUAAGCGUUUAAACGAGGGAAGUUUGGCAACAGUGGUACUAGAUAAGGUUGUAAAAGCACAGUUUCUGCUACUCUGUUCCCCAGACAAAGACCGGCAGACAGUGUUCGAAGCUGAUGUCCGUUAGCAACACAGGUAUUUACGUCAGUGUUAGUGUGGAUUUCGGCGACAGGUAGUUGUUGCCAGCGUCUAGUGUGGUACAUCACCACCAUGGUGCACAAGAAGAUUAAAAAUCAAAGCCCAGAAAAUUGCACUAUGCAGCAUAAUAAUUGCUGCACUGUGUGAGGACGAAGUAUCAAGAAGGGAAUGAUGCAAGGACUGGUUUAAAACACAGGAAGAGAAAGGGGAUGCAAUCAUUUUUUACAUGAGCUGCGUAAUGUUUAUGAAUCAGAUUUCAAAAAUCAUAUGAGGAUGGGACCCAAACAGCUUCUACGAUUUACUGGAGAAGGUAAAACCUUUCAUUACAAAGCAGGACAUCUGUUUCUUCUUUGUACACUUAUGCCUUGACGUUCUGCCGAUACAGCUCGAUUAGCAACAGUAUAUAUAUAUAUAUAUAUAUAUAUUUCUUCUAUCCCAGUGGAAGCUAUAGCUAGCCAUGUUGCCAGGGCAGGUGAGAACUAAUCAAAUUAACAGACCCCCGGUAACCAAGUAACUUUUCUCAUCGUGUGCCUGGCAGUAUUACCAAGCCUGUCCCACCACUGUGCGAAGGUCCGAUACUACGAACAUGGAGUGUCCGGUACAGCUCUUGGUGCUCGCUUUUCACGUCUUCAGCGAGCCUUUCCGCUUUCCAUUGUAUCUGGUAACAGUUUUGUCCGACGGACACUGUUCGACCGUGUGGACGCACUUAUGAUCAGCUUACAUGAACGUUUACAUGUAAUACUACCUAAUCCAUAAAUGCCUGCUUCGUUCAUUUUGGUUUCGUAUUAUUCCGCGACAUAGGGAAUGUAGGAAAGUAGAGCUUCACUGAUACAGCGAAGAUGGUUUUAAAACAAUUAUAAAACAAACACAUUGAAAAAUUUAUCAAAAAUUAAAUAAAAAUACUUUGAAGAAACUCUUCAGAGUCUCCGGAGAUGAACGCCGAGCUUUUUCGUAAAUGGAAAAUUGUAUAAAAAAAAUUAAAUAAUAUUAUUACUUGGGAGCCCCUCAGACUCUUUCAACACUGCUGCUCAUCAACCGGCAACACUGCUAACCAACGAGUCUGACACACACAUGACAAAAGUCUAGCAGCUAGCAGACUCUGGAAGGUUUCCGCCUCCAUCAUUUGCCAAGACUUUGACCCCGGCACCAGAUGUACCCCAACCUGUAGAGUGAUAAGUUUAUAAUACAGAUAAGGCACGGUUACAGUUGUAAAGCUUCAAAUAUUUAUCUUAUGCAAAAUAAACAAGGAUCCUGU